GGGUGUGCGGUGUUUCUACAAUUAAAUAAACAAAAUAAUGCUAAAUUGCAUGAGUGACCCAAACGAUGACAUCAACGGUUGUGUGCAGGCAGCACCUUCUCCAUGGUUAAGCUGCGAGCAGCUAAGCUGGCAAGCUAGAGGGGCUACAUGAGCUUUUAACUACGUGCUUGGGUGUUGUGCGGUAGUACAAGAUGGAGAUGGCCUGCUUUACCAAGCCUGAUCCUUGUCUGUAUGCUACUGGCAGUGUAUCCUUGCUCAGGACAGACCCCACCAGGCCGAGAGCGUCAGCUAGGACAUGUGUAUCAGGACCUUCAGAACCUGAGCUCUCUAAUCCGAGCAAUAUGCAUAGGACACCACAUCAGGAUGGCAAGCAUGAGGGCAACCUCUGCGACCAGGGGGUGGAUAUGUGCGACAUGGUUGGUGCUUGGGCUCCCUUACUCCAUAUCUGCUACUAGAGUCUCUCAGUAACUGCAAACCCAAUUUCCGGAUGCAUCUCAAUCCUACUUUUCACUUUGAUCCAGAACUUGGUAACCCUCAGCAAAUGGAAUGUUGGAGAAACUAAAAAAUAUGAAGAAAUAGUUGUUGGUGGUACGUAUGGUAUUUAUAGUGCCCAUCUAUAUCUUGGUAUGUCUUUGCAACAGGCAUGAACUUUUUUAAUCACUAUAUAAAGGUUACCAAGUUCUGUGCAUCUACCACCCUUCUGUCACCUCACAAUAACUCUAGACGUGUAAUAAUUUAUGUGCACGAGUUGCAACUGGCUACUACUGUUUCACCAUACAAUAGACAUUUUAGUGCAGUCUCACUACUACAAAAAUAAUUUGUAGCAACGCCCC
rnacentral:lncRNA from 1 species